GCCAGCGUAGUGUAGUGGUUUGGGUGCUGGAUUACAACUCUGGAGAUUAGGGUUCCAUUCCCCACUCAGCCA